CAGGUACAGAGGGAUGCUACCGGGCGACCGGAUGCGGAUCUCGAAAGCCUGUCCCAGUUCGGACUGGAGUCUGCAACCCGACUCCACGAAGUUGGAUUCGCUAGUAAUCGCGCAUCAGCCAUGGCGCGGUGAAUACGUUCCCGGGCCUUGUACACACCGCCCGUCAAGCCAUGGGAGCCGGGGGUGCCUGAAGUUCGUGACCGCAAGGAGCGACCUAGGGCAAAACUGGUGACUGGGGCUAAGUCGUAACAAGGUAGC
rnacentral:rRNA from 1 species